UACGAAGGGGGCUAGCGUUGCUCGGAAUCACUGGGCGUAAAGGGUGCGUAGGCGGGUCUUAAGUCAGGGGUGAAAUCCUGGAGCUCAACUCCAGAACUGCCUUUGAUACUGAGGAUCUUGAGUUCGGGAGAGGUGAGUGGAACUGCGAGUGUAGAGGUGAAAUUCGUAGAUAUUCGCAAGAACACCAGUGGCGAAGGCGCUCACUGGCCCGAUACUGACGCUGAGGCACGAAAGCGUGGGGAGCCAAACAGGG
rnacentral:rRNA from 1 species